rnacentral:rRNA from 1 species
GACGAACGCUGGCGGCGUGCCUAAUACAUGCAAGUAGAACGCUGAAGGAAGGAGCUUGCUCUUUCCGGAUGAGUUGCGAACGGGUGAGUAACGCGUAGGUAACCUGCCUGGUAGCGGGGGAUAACUAUUGGAAACGAUAGCUAAUACCGCAUAACNGUGGAUGACGCAUGNUNNNNACUUGAAAGGGGCAAUUGCUCCACUACCAGAUGGACCUGCGUUGUAUUAGCUAGUUGGUGAGGUAACGGCUCACCUAGGNNACGAUACAUAGCCGACCUGAGAGGGUGAUCGGCCACACUGGGACUGAGACACGGCCCAGACUCCUACGGGAGGCAGCAGUAGGGAAUCUUCGGCAAUGGACGGAAGUCUGACCGAGCAACGCCGCGUGAGUGAAGAAGGUUUUCGGAUCGUAAAGCUCUGUUGUAAGNNAAGAACGAGUGUGAGAGUGGAAAGUUCACACUGUGACGGUAUCUUACCAGAAAGGGACGGCUAACUACGUGCCAGCAGCCGCGGUAAUACGUAGGUCCCGAGCGUUGUCCGGAUUUAUUGGGCGUAAAGCGAGCGCAGGCGGUUAGAUAAGUCUGAAGUUAAAGGCUGUGGCNNNACCAUAGUACGCUUUGGAAACUGUCUAACUUGAGUGCAGAAGGGGAGAGUGGAAUUCCAUGUGUAGCGNNGAAAUGCGUAGAUAUAUGGAGGAACACCGGUGGCGAAAGCGGCUCUCUGGCCUGUAACUGACGCUGAGGCUCGAAAGCGUGGGGAGNCAACAGG